AAGGGAAAAGAGAAAGUGAACGAAGAUAUCGAUUAAAUUCGAUAAAUAGUGAUCAAGAAUCCAAAGAAGAACGAGGAAAAGAAAAAGUUGCGAAUAGUCCCAAAAUUUCAAUAUCUUCUACAAAUUAGCCGGAUUGACUUGAAGUGAAGUGGGUAGAUCGGAUCAACACAACAAAGCACACUAUCCAGAUCAAUUCCGGUAGCUUUUGUUUUAAGUUUGAAGAUUUAUAUGGCAUGUAUAGAGUUUGAAUGAAUUGAAGUAAAGAUGUUAUAAACUAGUUAACAAUAUUUGUACUAAAACAGUUUUCGGUAA